UACGUAGGGUGCAAGCGUUAAUCGGAAUUACUGGGCGUAAAGCGUGCGCAGGUGGUCGCGCAAGACAGAUGUGAAAUCCCUGGGCUCAACCUGGGAACCGCAUUUGUGACUGCUCGGCUGGAGUGCGGCAGAGGGGGAUGGAAUUCCGCGUGUAGCAGUGAAAUGCGUAGAUAUGCGGAGGAACACCGAUGGCGAAGGCAAUCCCCUGGGCCUGCACUGACGCUCAUGCACGAAAGCGUGGGGAGCAAACAGG
rnacentral:rRNA from 1 species